CGUAGGUGAACCUGCGGAAGGAUCAUUAUUGAAUUAUGUUUUCUAGAUGGGUUGUAGCUGGCUCUUCGGAGUAUGUGCACGCCUGUCUGGACUUCAUUUUCAUCCACCUGUGCACCUUUUGUAGUCUUUUUCAGGUAUUGGAGGAAGUGGUCAGCCUAUCAGCUCUUUGCUGGAUGUAAGGACUUGCAGUGUGAAAACAGUGCUGUCCUUUACCUUGGCCAUGGAAUCUUUUUCCUGUUAGAGUCUAUGUUAUUCAUUAUACUCUUAGAAUGUCAUUGAAUGUCUUUACAUGGGCUAUGCCUAUGAAAAUUAUUAUACAACUUUCAGCAACGGAUCUCUUGGCUCUCGCAUCGAUGAAGAACGCAGCGAAAUGCGAUAAGUAAUGUGAAUUGCAGAAUUCAGUGAAUCAUCGAAUCUUUGAACGCAUCUUGCGCUCCUUGGUAUUCCGAGGAGCAUGCCUGUUUGAGUGUCAUUAUAUUCUCAACUCUCCAAUACUUUGUUGUAAAGGAGAGCUUGGAUUGUGGAGGUUUGCUGGCCCCUUACUUGGGGUCAGCUCCUCUGAAAUGCAUUAGCGGAACCGUCUGCGAUCUGCCACAAGUGUGAUAACUUAUCUACACUGGCGAGGGGAUUGCUUUCUGAUGUUCAGCUUCUAAUCGUCUAAGGACAAUUUCUUGAAUGCUUGACCUCAAAUCAGGUAGGA
rnacentral:sRNA from 1 species